UACGUAGGGCGCAAGCGUUAUCCGGAAUUAUUGGGCGUAAAGAGCUCGUAGGCGGUUUGUCGCGUCUGCUGUGAAAGACCGGGGCUCAACUCCGGUUCUGCAGUGGGUACGGGCAGACUAGAGUGCAGUAGGGGAGACUGGAAUUCCUGGUGUAGCGGUGAAAUGCGCAGAUAUCAGGAGGAACACCGAUGGCGAAGGCAGGUCUCUGGGCCAUUACUGACACUGAGAAGCGAAAGCAUGGGGAGCGAACAGG
rnacentral:rRNA from 1 species